GGCAGAUCAUGGCGGGAAGGGGAUGUGACGAAUCUCCAGUCAUGGAGCUUGUUACAGAGCCAGAGGAGAGGAAACAGAACCUGACAUUUGAGUCAGAAGAACUCUGUGAGCAACAGAAAUCACUACCAACAAAGCCCAAGGCAGACAUGCAAGACAGAAAGG
rnacentral:lncRNA from 1 species